AAAUAGGAAGCCCCAUGCAGGCGCUGCCUCGCCGGGUUGAUCGCCCAUCCCCCAGCCUGCCGAAAGAGGAAGGGGCAGCCCGUAGGCGCCCGGCAGCACGGGUACCCGGGAUCCGAAUCCCUCCCCGGGGCUGGCAGGACCAGUCCCCUUUCCUGGCCUCAAGGCGCUCUUCGGAAUCUGAGAAGGAAGCCGCUGGGGGCACGGAGCCCGCGAGUUGGGGCGCAGGUCAUGGACAUCUUCGGUUUCCUGGUCCCUCCACGAGCCUGGGGUCCGAACAGAGAUGAGAGACUAGAGGAGAAAGGAAACUCACUCUUGGGCUGAUGCCCCGCUGGGAAAGUUCUGGCCGACUCUCCGCGGCGUAGGCAUCUUGGUCCUCUUUUUACAGGCACAAGCGUUUGCUCCCGUCGGCCGGGCGGUUCCCUCCUCAACCUCCUUCAGAAAGUCUGUGCUUGCAGCCAGCUCUACAAGGCUCAAGGACAGCUCCCUGUUCUGCCUGACAGCUACGGCCUCCACCCGCCACCUGCUGCCCUUUCUCUGACCUCCGCACACCCACAAGCAGCCUGUGCCUUCAUAGACUGGCAGUCACUUUUAAAGAGCCUACCUUUUAAUAAUAAAGCACUUUUAAUAAUAAGAUCCA